GCCUUAAUAGUUUAAAUAUAUAAAACCUUGGUCUUGUAAAUCAAAAAUGAAAAUUAAUUUCUUAAGGCU
rnacentral:tRNA from 1 species